UUACUUGGUCGCCCCCUCAGCCGUCAAGGAGGCGCCCCGCCUCCGAGGACCACCGGGAAGGGGCGGCAAGUCGUCAGACAAGAAGCCGCCCCGAUGGCCUCAGACCACGGAGGAUGAGCAAGGAGCAGCUCAUGGCCGGGCUCUGCGCGUCCCUCCUAGAUGCGUUGGCCCAGGUGCCACCGCAAAACCACGGCGUCCAGCUGGCGAGCUUGGAACCCCAACAUUCAGCAGGCACCCUUUGAGGAAAGUUCCCUUCUCAAUAUCUGCCAAGGCAGCAUGUAUCAGUGGCAAACACAGCCCAGCUGCAUCCUUGAAGUCAUUGUCUUUGGUUUCAUCCUUCUUCCUAGUUGCAUAUAUGCACCACUUGUUAUUAGCUUGUGUUUACCGAGUGAAUAAACCAUACCAGAAAUGAUAUAGUAGAUUUGGGACACA